ACACAAUAGGGGUCACUAUGGGACACUAUGGGGUCACUAUGGGGUCACUAUGGGUCACUAUGGGGUCACUAUGGGGUCACAGCAUGGGGACAUCGUGGGGACACAAUAGGGGUCACUAUGGGUCACUAUGGGGUCACUAUGGGGUCACUCUGGGGUCACUUUGGGGUCACUCUGGGGUCACAGUACGAGUUCUAUGGGUUCUAUGGGUGCCAUUGGAUCCAAUGGGUGCUGAUGGGUUCCCAUGGGUGCCAAUGGGAUCCGAUGGGUGCUGAUGGGUUCCCAUGGGUGCCAAUGGGAUCCGAUGGGUGCUGAUGGGUUCCCAUGGGUGCGAAUGGGAUCCGAUGGGUGCUGAUGGGUUCCCAUGGGUUCUAUGGGUGCCAAUGCGAUCCAAUGGGUGCUGACGGGUUCUAUGGGUGCUGAUGGGUGCCAAUGGGUUCCCAUGGGUUCUAUGGGUGCCAAUGGGAUCCAAUGGGAUCCAAUGGGAUCCAAUGGGAUCCAAUGGGUGCCGAUGGGUUCUAUGGGUGCCCAUGGGUGCCGAUGGGUGCGGGUGGGCUCCCAGGGGUGUCACGUGACCUCACCCAGCCAAUACUCGCCGUCGGCGCGCCCGAAGCCGUAGCGAUAAUCGUUCCAACCCCGGAAGAAACUGACGGAGCCGUUGAAACGCUUCUGGAACACCUGGGGGGGGGGAGAGGGGGCACGCUUGCACACGCGUGUGCACACACGGAUGGCACACGCGCACACGUAUGUUACGCACACACGUUACACGUACACAUCUGUUACACGCACGUCUCUCACACACAGACACGUAUGUCACACACCCACACGCAUGUUACACGCGUGUGCGCACCGUCCAGACGUGUCCGUCCGUGCUCAUGUCGCUGUUACACACACACACACGUUACAAACACUCACACACACACAGAUGUUACUCUCACACACACACACGUAUGUCACACACCCACACGCAUGUGACACGCGUGUGCGCACCGUCCAGACGUGUCCGUCCGUGCUCAUGUCGCAGUAGACGGGCACCGGGAGGCCGGGCCCCAUGGGAUACACCAGGUAGACGCCGUCGCUCUGCGCCCCCCCCGCGUGCACGUCGUGGCAGUCGCGCGGUGACACGGCGGCGCACGGCAGCGCCGGCACGGCUGGGGGGGCAACGGGGGGUCAUGGGGUCAGAGG
rnacentral:lncRNA from 1 species